UGGGGAAUAUUGCACAAUGGGCGCAAGCCUGAUGCAGCCAUGCCGCGUGUAUGAAGAAGGCCUUCGGGUUGUAAAGUACUUUCAGCGGGGAGGAAGGGAGUAAAGUUAAUACCUUUGCUCAUUGACGUUACCCGCAGAAGAAGCACCGGCUAACUCCGUGCCAGCAGCCGCGGUAAUACGGAGGGUGCAAGCGUUAAUCGGAAUUACUGGGCGUAAAGCGCACGCAGGCGGUUUGUUAAGUCAGAUGUGAAAUCCCCGGGCUCAACCUGGGACCUGCAUCUGAUACUGGCAAGCUUGAGUCUCGUAGAAGGGGGUAGAAUUCCAGGUGUAGCGGUGAAAUGCGUAGAGAUCUGGAGGAAUACCGGUGGCGAAGGCGGCCCCCUGGACGAAGACUGACGCUCAGGUGCGAAAGCGUGGGGAGCAAACAGG
rnacentral:rRNA from 1 species